CACUUUGGUGAGCUAGGCUAGGGCGCUUCGGCGCACCGUGUAUUGCGAGCGGUUGUUCCUAACCUUGUCUAGUUCACCACCUAA
rnacentral:antisense_RNA from 1 species